rnacentral:lncRNA from 1 species
CACAGAAUGAAAAAGUUAAACCAAAUAAAAUAAAAAAAGAACUAAACUAAAGUAUUCCGUGAGCGAGCCUUUGUUUCGUGACGUCACGCCCUCACCGAGAGCGCGCGCGGAAACGAAACAUGGCUGAAAUGGUAACAGACAGUGACGGGGGUGUAACUGUAUCAGACCCUCCAAAACAACCCCCCAAACGCCGACGCAUCCUCGACGCUUCCUCCAUCACAACAGUACCUGUUUACUCCAACAAGGUAAACAGCUCCUUAAAUCUGAAGCCAAUAACCUUCAAACACACCACUCUCACAGGUAUAAUAUAACUUUUUAUAUGCUAACAUUUUAUUUUAGAAAUGUAUAUUUUUAUUCAGCAAGGAUGCAUUAAAUAAAUCAAAAGUUACCAUAUUAUGACCAUUUAUGAUGUAAAAAAAUCUGUCAAAUAAAUGUUUUGAUUUUUUUAAUUUUAUUUGUUUUUACUGUAUUUUU